UUCCCGCCCAGAUAGUUUUGUGAUUGUGCAGUCAGCAAGUAAACAAACAAGACUCAAGUAAUAGGGGAUUUUGAAAUUAAAUACACAAGUUCUUGAAAAACAAUGAAAGCAAGGUUUUGAAAAAAGUUACAAUCUAAGCAUGCUUGUGAAUGUUAAAGGGGUCCUAGGUUUGUUCGUAAUAUGGAUCACAUCAAUGCAAUACUCGGUAUGGUACUCCCCAGAAGAGGGGAUACACGUGGUAUUAGCGCACCGGUCAUCAUGUCCCUAUCUACCCUUCCCACCCCGUGAAAGUAUUAAAAGCGAGGAUUGGUCUCGACCUCUAUUGCAUGCUGUUAUUCCUCCUGUUCCUAUCGAUAUCGGAGAAAUAAAGGACUAUUAUUCCUAUAAGAGGGAGGUUUUAGGCUGACUCUUUGGUUUAAAGGUUAAAUGCUAAGAUGACAUACAAAAACAAGUAGGACUGUAUUUAGAAAGGAAACAUGUAAGCAGUUAGAAGGCGCAUGUAUACCUCCGCAAAUAAUGCAUACAAACAACAUGACUUAAAGCACAGUUAAGGUCUGAAUUUUAAAGAUCCUAAAGCAAGGUGCUUGAGUCAGAACCAGAUUCAAUAUAUAACUCAG
rnacentral:lncRNA from 1 species